GAUGAACGCUGGCGGCGUGCUUAACACAUGCAAGUCGAACGAUGAAAGCGGGAGCUUGCUCCUGCUGGAUUAGUGGCGAACGGGUGAGUAACACGUGAGCAAUCUGCCCCGAACUCUGGGAUAAGCGUUGGAAACGACGUCUAAUACCGGAUACGACGCGCGAAGGCAUCUUCUGCGCGUGGAAGGAACUUCGGUUCGGGAUGAGCUCGCGGCCUAUCAGCGAGCUGGUGAGGUAACGGCCCACCAAGGCGACGACGGGUAGCCGGCCUGAGAGGGUGACCGGCCACACUGGGACUGAGACACGGCCCAGACUCCGACGGGAGGCAGCAGUGGGGAAUACUGCACAAUGGGCGCAAGCCGGAUGCAGCAACGCCGCGUGAGGGACGACGGCCUUCGGGUUGUAAACCUCUUUUAGUAGGGAAGAAGCGAAAGUGACGGUACCUGCAGAAAAAGCACCGGCUAACUACGUGCCAGCAGCCGCCGUAAUAC
rnacentral:rRNA from 1 species